rnacentral:rRNA from 1 species
UACGGGGGGGGCAAGCGUUGUUCGGAAUUACUGGGCGUAAAGGGUGCGUAGGCGGCUCUCUAAGUCGGAUGUGAAAACUCUGGGCUCAACCCAGAGCCUGCAUCUGAAACUGGAGGGCUAGGGUUCUGGAGGGGAAAGCGGAAUUCCUGGUGUAGCGGUGAAAUGCGUAGAUAUCAGGAGGAACACCGGUGGCGAAGGCGGCUUUCUGGACAGAUACCGACGCUGAGGCACGAAAGCUAGGGGAGCAAAC